rnacentral:rRNA from 1 species
CAGUAGCCGCGGUAAUACAGAGGGUGCGAGCGUUAAUCGGAUUUACUGGGCGUAAAGCGUGCGUAGGCGGCUAAUUGAGUCGGAUGUGAAAUCCCCUAGCUUAACUUGGGAAUUGCAUUCGAUACUGGUUAGCUAGAGUGUGGGAGAGGAUGGUAGAAUUCCAGGUGUAGCGGUGAAAUGCGUAGAGAUCUGGAGGAAUACCGAUGGCGAAGGCAGCCAUCUGGCCUAACACUGACGCUGAGGUACGAAAGCAUGGGGAGCAAACAGGAUUAGAUACCCCAGUAGUCCCUGUCUCUUAUAA